rnacentral:lncRNA from 1 species
AACCAAGGGUGCUUGUACCUUCUAGCUACCAUUUUUACAAAGCUAUGAAUCAUCAAACUGCAUUCAACACCAUGAUCAUUCAUCAUGACAAUAUUGUCAGUCAUGGACCAACCACUGGGAUAUUUCGGUAACCACAAAUUAUUAUUCUCCUAAUUCUCAACUAUAUUAUUCACUUAAUGUAUUAUUAUUUUUUUCAAUCCUUCCAUUAUGUGCAUUACAUCUAAUGUCAUAACUUUUUACCCUCACAGGGACCCACCUCUGUCUUCAGAGAUGCAGGUUGAGACUGGUCAGUCUCCAGUGUCUCUUCACAGUGGUUUCUUGGAGACCAGUUAUCAAGACCUUCAGACUGGAUCUGAGGUUGACUUGGUUCAUCCAGGUUUGGUGGAAGCCAGGCCUCAUUCCUUUAAUGAAUCAGGCACUAGUAAGCCAGAAGUCAGCCUGGACCAGUCCAGGGAUCAAUUCAUUCAGGGAAUGACAAAGUCCAAAGACUCUUCCCCCACGGACACUGAAUCCAUUGUUGCCGUCCAAAACCUUAUGAAUGAGUAAGUAUCAAUGCUCACACAAAUAUUCACCAUCUCAAAUUCCUCCCAUCCUCAUACAUACAGUACCUACUUACCUG